UUCCCGGCAAAUUUGUUAUCAUCAUCAUAUAUUAGUCAAAACAUAUUCUUUCACAUGAUUGGUAAUGAGAGCUUCCAUUUCAUUUUUUGAGAGGGGGGCGUUUCCAAUACUGGUCUUUACCUUUAAAGCAGUCACCUGUAGUAGAAUUCAUGAAAAUAGUUUAGUGAGAGGUCUUCUUUCAUUCAGUGUAUUUUUUUUUUUUUUACUCAUAAUAAUAUUCGUUGGUGCUUGUGCAAAUAUCUCUUUGUGUGUUAUAUAUUAUUCUUAACUGCCAUUUUGCAGUUUCAAACCAGUAACUCAUCUUAAAUGUACAUGUACAUGUAGUUUAUUUGUUAGGAAAUCACAACUCAUGUACCAUUUAGUAGGCCUACUGCUUAAAUCAAAUGCAAAAUCAUCCCUGUUUUACAAUGACAUGCAUAUUGAUAACAAGCAAUCCUUAUUUGUUUUUUUAUUUUGGUGAUGUUGUGUAAAUGAUAUAAUACAAGGAAGUUCAUUAAUGUACAUUUAAACCAACAUAUUGUACUCCUACAUACUUUAUACAUAAUAAUAGGGUUAUUUAUAUAGCGCUGGUAUCCGUCAGGCUCUGACGCUCAUGGCGCAUUACACAUAUUACCCUGGUUGUAGCUGAGCUGCCAAAGUAACUAGCGCUCAAGCAUAUCAGGUACCCAUUUACUCCUGUAGGUAAGCAUUAUAUGCAUGGCUUAUUUUUACGAUGCCAAAUUUUGCUGGAGUACUACAAACGAAACAGAGUUGCCUUCUUUUUCAAAGUAUAAUGCAUCUCUGUUGGGAUUAUUUAUUCAGUUCAUGCGAAAAGGUAUGCAGUGCAUUGUACACAUGGCCUGGCCUGGGAUUUGUAUCAUUGUUGUUGCUUAUAAAUUGUGUAAUCUUGGUUUGUAGAUUUAGGUGGUAAUUUCUAUUUGGUCUUCCAUUUCAUUGUGCAAUGCAGUUAAGUAAUUCAGGUAAAACAACAAACAUCAAAAAUGUUUGAAUACCUUUUGAAAUACAGUGCUAGUCAUAUAUAGAAAAUGAAAAAAAAAAUCACUUUCAAAUUGCCUAUUAUUUUAAGGCGGAGCUGUAAAUAUAUUGAAUUGGAUAAUUUGUUAACUAUUCCGGCUUCAUUUGGUACGACCUUUGUCUGGCAACUCUUCACAGUUGACUUCAGGAGUUUAUUAAAGCGAUGAUGUAAUAAACAAAAAGAAUAAACAUUUGUGCCAACUCCAGCUUUUUCCUGGUAUUGUUACAUAACUAUCUUAAAUGUGAUAUUACGUAACCAUCUUAAUUACAUCACUGUCGAUUCAAAUCUCAUUGGAAGGCAGAAGACUGAAAUGUUUUAUUUACAAACACAAUCAAUCAAUCAGGAGUACUUUAUUUCUGUUUUGUAUUGGAAUAGAUAUUUAUGUAGUUUGAAAAUUAAUUUUGAGUGUUGAUUUCUCUUUUAUGAUUCAUCAAUGGCAAGUUGGACACAUUUGCAAAAAUUAGGAUAAAAUAUCCUGCGGUAACUCAUUUCUCCAUGACCGAGUUGCCAAUUUGACUCUCAUAGAACAUAAAAUCAUUAUCAUUAAACAAUUAGUAUUCCUUUUUUCCAGGAUUUUUCAUGGAAUUUAAGUUUUUGGCAUCUUUAAAAUCAAAUCGGCGUCAUCAUAAUGUUGAGGGCUGGAUAUGAUUUUAAAGGAGCUAAUAUUUCAGAUUUAAAUUUAGAUUUGUGCAUUAUUUUUUACUGGAUUACUGUCAACAUUAAUACUUUUGCAAAUGACAUAUAUUUUAUAUUGAUUCUUGUGUGACAUAUUUUCUUAUACUUGUACAUAUCUAAGUAUCGCUUAUAAAAUUGUAAACAGUAUUUUCAUUUGCUUAUAUUUUGUUUGAUGAUAUUAAGAAAUAGUAUAUUCAAUAUUUGUUCUUCAAAUUUUCUAAAUUAUAGCAAUAUCUAUCAUAUUUUUUGAUUCAUUAUAUUAUUGCUUUGGUAAUUCAACGUGAAAAUGAUUUCCCUGUAUGCUACCCUUUUUUCAGUUUGGAGUAUGUAAACAAUUUACAAUGUGCACAUAUUGUGUUGUCAUUUUCAAUGACUUCCUUCUCUCUCUCUCUCUCUCUCUCUCUCUCUCUCUCUCUCUCAUUCUCACUAUCUAAUUCAUUCUCGAUAUCCCCUUCUCACUCUCUUUUGCCAUUCUUUCUUUCUCUUUCCAUAUAAUCGGGAGCGCCAGGAGGGUCAAAUCUAACUGACAUGAGCGCUAUACAAGAACCCAUUAUAAUUAUGAUAUAUUUGUUGCGUCUUUCAAGCAAUACUAUUUCAUGUACACACAUCAGAUCUCCGAUAUAUUUUUCCUGAUACUUUACUUUCAUUAUUUUGAUAGCAUUUUAUGCUGGUAAUAAAUACUUGGGUAAAGGAAA